UUUCGAGUGUUUUGGAGCUUGCACUUUCUGCAUGUAGAUACAAACUUGUGUGUUCUGGACCAUCUCAAGUCUCUCAUAGUAACCAAUAGUCCUUAUCUUUUUGUGACUUGUGUAUUCUAGAUGAUUGUUAAGCUGGUCAAAACUAUGGUUCCUCUAGGUUAAUUUGUUUGUCAUCUUGCGUUCAAUGUAUGUGCAUGUUUAUAAACAUAUUUUCAUUGUGGUGUAAUAUGUGUUUAUCUU
rnacentral:lncRNA from 1 species